UCGGGGCGCAGCUUUUAAAGGAACCCCCCCUGUUAGUCAUCUUCUUCAGCCGCUGAACACCCAUCGAAGACCCCUCAUCUUCAGCUUCUUCUCCACCCGUUUCCCUCACAAUAAACGAUCCCAUCUCCACAUAAAAAUAGACUCUCUCUUCAACACAAAAGCAGCGGCAGAGAACUAAAGACCUCCCCCCAUCGGCGAACCUGCCAUCUAUGCUCCAUUGACACACACCCAGCCAGACCACCUUCAAAAUACUACAGUUUCAGUCCAAAAUCCAGCUCAAAAAUAGCCGAAAAUAAAUUCAAAAUCAGUUGGAGUUCAUCUUCGUCGUUUUUGUUUGGUUCAAGUUUUUCCGGUGAGCUUCGAGUCGUCGGAAGUUGCUGUCCAAGUCUCCGUUCAGCUGCAAGUCGAGGUACUGUCGUUGUCGCCGAUGAGUUUCCGUUUAACGGUCCCGGCUCCGGUCAGAGGUUCAUCCUUGUUUGAAUUUUGAAAGAAGCAGUCAAGUAAUUGCAAAGGGAUACCUCUGGGUAAUUAAUUUCGGUGGUCAUUCUGCAGUUUGAUUGUGAUAUGCCGAUCAAUAUUUUGUGCUCCUUUGGGUCGUUACAAGUUCUGCUUGCAUGACUAGCGGAGAGUCUCCAAAUUGGAGGAAAACUUAGGAUGAAUCAAAUUGUACAAUGAAUUUGUCUAAAGGAAAUAAAUAAUAGAUGCAGAGUGUAUGUAUGUUAGCUGAGACAGAAUAGUGUCCUAUUUUCAUGUGUGAAAUGCUUUCUUUAUUUAGCUGAUGUAAUAAUUAGCAAAAUAUCGUGAUUAUCAAAUAUCUUGCUAUGAAAUUUUUUGGCA